GAAAACUUAAAAAUAUACUAUAAAAUUAUAUAUUACACAAAAACGUAACGCUAAUAAAAUAAUAAGUAAUGUAUAGAUACUAACAAACAUAAAUUUCCAAAACAUAAAAAGUAAACAACUAAACUUUUACUUUAAAUUAUUUUAGUGUUCAACGCGACUCCUUUACCUCCUGUAGUAAAUAGAAAUCGAAAUUUGAAGAAGCAAAAAUAAAUAAAACAAAACGAUGUUAGUUCUCAGAGCAAUAAAGGGAAAAAUUACUUUAUUUGUUGCCAGUUAACUUCGAUCAAUAAUACACUAGAUUCGCGAUUAGCACUUCAAAAGCGGCCCGAAAAAUAAGACCACAAAUAAAUUUGUGGUCCUAUUUCAAAUUAGUAUGGUCCAAUCAUAGCCAACACUAAGACGUCAAAAUGCUGCAAUGCGCGUUCAAAAACUGAGUAAAAAACCACCGUAACACCAAGGUUUUGGAAGGAAUAUCUUUUUUUGAUUUCCUAGUAGCCCCUUGUCGCUGUGCAAAAUGGAUAUAUAUUGUCGCGAAAGAAAGAGGAGAAGAAAUAUAGAACUCUUAUAAAAAUUCUAGAAUUGUUCAAUGGUGGUGGCAAAUCAAUGCAAAAAAGUAUUAAAAAAACUUUAUAUGUAUGUGUAAAUAUUUUAAGCGUAUAUGCUGAAAAGGAUUUGUUUUCUGGGGGAAACGAACACAGCCAUAAAAUAAGCCUAAAUUAAACUGAUUAUAGAAAAAUUCAUUGAUAUAAGAUUACAUUAUAUUUGUAAAAAAGAAACCGCUCAUAUAAAAAUGACUUCUAAAAGACAGCUUUAUAACAAACUGAAUCUCUUUAAAGUUAAUUAAACCUACAUUAUUGUUUUAAUUACUUCUGUAUAAAGAAUACGUGGAAAACAUGUUUCGUGUUUCCUUUCAUAUUUUUUUUACUUUAUUCAAUUUUAUUUUUUAUCACCUAUUUGUUGUAAUAGCGGCAAUGUAAAAUAUUAUCUACUACUUUUUUGAAUCGGUCAAAAAUAGUUGCGACCAUACAAAACAAACCUAAAACAAAUAUGUAUAUUCUGCAACUCUAUGUCUUUCAAUACUUACUGUGUUCUGAGCAUUGAAAUGUAAUACCAAGAACUACAUCUAGUUCCACAAUACAAUAAGCACGAAAUUUUAAACAAAUAUUUUUAACCUUAUAAAUUAGGCUUUAAGUAUCAUUGUAGAAUAAAUAUUUUUGUACUGAUGUCUUUUUAUGUUCAAGUGACAUUUUAAAUUUAUUCCAUAAUAUUCUUUUUCUGACGAAAGGACCUAAAUACAUAUAUUUUGCAAUGGUAAUUAAACUUUAUGUUUAAGUAUUAAGGUUUAUAAUAAACUGAAGUCGUUAACAUUAUUAAA